rnacentral:rRNA from 1 species
CCUACGGGCGGUAGCAGUGAGGAAUAUUGGUCAAUGGCCGGAAGGCUGAACCAGCCAUGCCGCGUGAGUGAAGAAGUAUUUCGGUAUGUAAAGCUCUAUCAGCAGGGAAGAAAGAAAUGACGGUACCUGACUAAGAAGCCCCGGCUAACUACGUGCCAGCAGCCGCGGUAAUACGAAGGGGGGAAGCGUUAUCCGGAUUUACUGGGUGUAAAGGGAGCGUAGGCGGUUACGCAAGUCUGGAGUGAAAGGCGGGGGGCCAACCCCCGGACUGCUUUUGAAACUGUAUGACUGGAGUGCAGGAGAGGUAAGUGGAAUUCCUGGUGUAGCGGUGAAAUGCGUAGAUAUUAGGAGGAACACCAGUGGCGAAGGCGGCUUACUGGACUGUAACUGACGUUGAGGCUCGAAAGCGUGGGGAGCAAACAGGAUUAGAUACCCGUGUAGUC